AUGCAAAGCAAGCAUGUGAAGGAAGCUUUCCUUUUACUUACCCGAAUUCGGAGCUCUCCAGGAGCGUUCGCAGAUCUACCCAGCAGUGUGUCGGAUGCCGCGGAGUUCUACCGGGCCGAGGAAGGGAGUUCGACGGAGAAGUUGUUCUGGUCUCAGUAUACUGGGACCGAACAUCCAAUGCCCUUGAGCGACCAGCUGAAGCAAUUGGUCGAGCUUCACAAGGCGGCCGAACGGGCCAUGAAGGGUCUCAUAGUCCGUAUGUGGCCUGGCGAGCCCCUGCCUGGCAGCUAUUUCGGCCUGGUAAGGCGGCUUGUGAAUGCCUACCCACGGCUUGAAGUCAUAAAGCGGUCCGUCUGCAUUGAGGGUGCGCGCAGGGCUUUUGCCCGGGCGAAAGUGCACUGGGCGAAGAUGGACGCCGAAAAGCUGGUGAAGGAAAGGCCGCCGGAGGGCAAGGAGCAUCGCCACCCCAAAAAGUAUUAUGAUAGUGUUCUGAAGGGUGCUCGCCUUGUGGCGGAGGAAUGUGCUAAGGAUAUAAUAUUUGAAUGA
rnacentral:rRNA from 1 species